rnacentral:sRNA from 1 species
UCCCGUCGGGGUUCCAAUAGAUGAUGCGA